rnacentral:rRNA from 1 species
CCUACGGGAGGCAGCAGUGGGGAAUUUUGGACAAUGGGCGCAAGCCUGAUCCAGCCAUGCCGCGUGUGGGAAGAAGGCCUUCGGGUUGUAAACCACUUUUGUCAGGGAAGAAACGGUCUGAACUAAUACUUUGGACUAAUGACGGUACCUGAAGAAUAAGCACCGGCUAACUACGUGCCAGCAGCCGCGGUAAUACGUAGGGUGCAAGCGUUAAUCGGAAUUACUGGGCGUAAAGCGUGCGCAGGCGGCUUUGCAAGACAGAUGUGAAAUCCCCGGGCUCAACCUGGGAACUGCAUUUGUGACUGCAUGGCUAGAGUACGGUAGAGGGGGAUGGAAUUCCGCGUGUAGCAGUGAAAUGCGUAGAUAUGCGGAGGAACACCGAUGGCGAAGGCAAUCCCCUGGACCUGUACUGACGCUCAUGCACGAAAGCGUGGGGAGCAAACAGGAUUAGAUACCCUGGUAGUCCACGCCCUAAACGAUGUCAACUGGUUGUUGGGAGGGUUUCUUCUCAGUAACGAAGCUAACGCGUGAAGUUGACCGCCUGGGGAGGUACGGCCGCGAGGUAGAACGUACGAAAGAAGUUAGUACGGCGUGAGACGUAGCCGACGGACGACGACGAGGGAGGAGGGAG